rnacentral:rRNA from 1 species
GACGAACGCUGGCGGCGUGCCUAAUACAUGCAAGUAGAACGCUGAAGAGAGGAGCUUGCUCUUCUUGGAUGAGUUGCGAACGGGUGAGUAACGCGUAGGUAACCUGCCUUGUAGCGGGAGAUAACUAUUGGAAACGAUAGCUAAUACCGCAUAACAAUGGAUGACACAUGUCAUUUAUUUGAAAGGGGCAAUUGCUCCACUACAAGAUGGACCUGCGUUGUAUUAGCUAGUAGGUGAGGUAACGGCUCACCUAGGCGACGAUACAUAGCCGACCUGAGAGGGUGAUCGGCCACACUGGGACUGAGACACGGCCCAGACUCCUACGGGAGGCAGCAGUAGGGAAUCUUCGGCAAUGGGGGCAACCCUGACCGAGCAACGCCGCGUGAGUGAAGAAGGUUUUCGGAUCGUAAAGCUCUGUUGUAAGUCAAGAACGAGUGUGAGAGUGGAAAGUUCACACUGUGACGGUAGCUUACCAGAAAGGGACGGCUAACUACGUGCCAGCAGCCGCGGUAAUACGUAGGUCCCGAGCGUUGUCCGGAUUUAUUGGGCGUAAAGCGAGCGCAGGCGGUUUGAUAAGUCUGAAGUUAAAGGCUGUGGCUCAACCAUAGUUCGCUUUGGAAACUGUCAAACUUGAGUGCAGAAGGGGAGAGUGGAAUUCCAUGUGUAGCGGUGAAAUGCGUAGAUAUAUGGAGGAACACCGGUGGCGAAAGCGGCUCUCUGGUCUGUAACUGACGCUGAGGCUCGAAAGCGUGGGGAGCGAACAGG